rnacentral:rRNA from 1 species
CUACGUGCCAGCAGCCGCGGUAAUACGUAGGUCCCGAGCGUUGUCCGGAUUUAUUGGGCGUAAAGCGAGCGCAGACGGUUACUUAAGCAGGAUGUGAAAUCCCCGGGCUCAACCUGGGAACUGCGUUCUGAACUGGGUGACUAGAGUGUGUCAGAGGGAGGUAGAAUUCCACGUGUAGCAGUGAAAUGCGUAGAGAUGUGGAGGAAUACCGAUGGCGAAGGCAGCCUCCUGGGAUAACACUGACGUUCAUGCUCGAAAGCGUGGGUAGCAAACAGGAUUAGAUACCCUGGUAGUCCACGCCCUAAACGAUGUCAAUUAGCUGUUGGGCAACUUGAUUGCUUAGUAGCGUAGCUAACGCGUGAAAUUGACCGCCUGGGGAGUACGGUCGCAAGAUUAAAACUCAAAGGAAUUGACGGGGACCCGCACAAGCGGUGGAUGAUGUGGAUUAAUUCGAUGCAACGCGAAGAACCUUACCUGGUCUUGACAU